AAAAAUUUUCCACGUCCUCCAGUUGAAGUCCCUUCUACUUUUUCAUGAAGUCAGGUGCAUCUGGAGAAGUGCUUUUCUCCUGCUGCUAUGCAGAUCAGCCAAAAACUAUACAUACGAAAUCUCAGAGAAAUGGAUGAAGUUAAGAAGGUAAGUAACGGAUGUUCCUGAAUAUUAAAUAAAGUCCAAAAAUAGAAAUAAUGUUGUUUUUAACCUUUUCAGUUUUCAGUGUUAAGUAUUCAGUAGUCUUAGGUUUAUAAUAGACUUAAGAAUGAUUGCACUUGUGGGAACUUGAUUUUCAAGCCAUCAAUUUUUGGGCUGCAAUUUUUAAU
ensembl:lncRNA